rnacentral:rRNA from 1 species
GACGAACGCUGGCGGCGUGCUUAACACAUGCAAGUCGAACGGAAAGGCCCUGCUUUUGUGGGGUGCUCGAGUGGCGAACGGGUGAGUAACACGUGAGUAACCUGCCCUUGACUUUGGGAUAACUUCAGGAAACUGGGGCUAAUACCGGAUAGGAGCUCCUGCUGCAUGGUGGGGGUUGGAAAGUUUCGGCGGUUGGGGAUGGACUCGCGGCUUAUCAGCUUGUUGGUGGGGUAGUGGCUUACCAAGGCUUUGACGGGUAGCCGGCCUGAGAGGGUGACCGGCCACAUUGGGACUGAGAUGCGGCCCAGACUCCUACGGGAGGCAGCAGUGGGGAAUAUUGCACAAUGGGCGGAAGCCUGAUGCAGCAACGCCGCGUGCGGGAUAACGGCCUUCGGGUUGUAAACCGCUUUCGCCUGUGACGAAGCGUGAGUGACGGUAAUGGGUAAAGAAGCACCGGCUAACUACGUG